AUCACUGCAAACUACCUUAUCUUUUAAAAUUAUUGCAACAGAUGUCAAAUAAACUCUAAUUACUGAUGAGGAAAUCACCUGCCGCUGUUUUUCGGUGUCUAGGAUUGCUGCACAUUGGCUACUGAGGCUGUAAGUAAAGACAGGCUUCCUUGCAAACGAUGUCUGCUGCCCAGGCUCAUCCACAGAGUGCAGGCAGACAUUUUCUGUAUGGGACCAGUAUUCAUGAGGAGGAAAGCAGCCUAAUCACUGAGGUAGGGGCCCACCGUCGGAAGGACAGCUGGCUGUGUUGCUGGGGGAGGAGAAGGUUGGGAUCCGGAAGCACACCGGGAGGCUGCCAGCUCAAAGUACAUUCCGCCCUGUGGGAAAAAUUUUACUGUGACCAGUAUAUAUAACCGUAAACUCUGAAGAAUCUGGAAAGGAGUACACUAUAACAAAAAGACUACACAGUGACAACUUAAGACGCAGUGCUACUUACUGUUCCUGUGUGUAGUUUUUCAAGUAAUACUUUAGGGUAGAUUUUCUAAAACGGACAAAUUGUGGUGCUGCCCAUAGCAAACAAUCAGAUUCUAGCUAUCAUUUCUCUAUUACGUUCUAAAAAAUUAUAGAGUCUGAUUGGUUGCUAUGGCCAACACCACUAUUUGUCUGUUUUAGAAGUUUUAGUAAAUCUAUACAGUAUAUACAGUAAAUACAAAGUCCUGUGCAGUAUAAUGUAACGUGUAUAAUGUAUAAUUCAAGUGCACAGUCUGGAUCUUGAUCCCUAGAGAAGGGGGUGGGCCCUCGGGCAGUGGGGCCCACCGGGUGCCCGACCCUGGGCCCAUAAGCUACAAAUGCGGGCAUGUGCAAGCGGCCUAUAGGCUACAAAUGCGGGUGUGUGCAAGUGGCCUAUAGGCUACAAAUGCGGGCGUGUGCAAGCAGCCUAUAGGCUACAAAUGCGGGUAUGUGCAAGCAGCAGUUUUUGUAGGCUUUUCUGUAAAAGUGUCUUCAUGCAUAGGCAACAUAAGUCACUGAUGUGUAAAACAGGACCUUGAAUAUUUUGUUGUCUGCAUUACUGGUGUUCUCUGACAGUGUUCACUAUGUGACAUUCAGGACAGCUGAGACAGAGAUACCCCUCACUAGUUAAUCUCUAGAAAUAUGGUAGCAGAAAGGAAGACUUUGCUAUGCUAAUUCGUAAAAGACUUGAUAAUUAAUGUUCUAAAGCUUGCCAGCAAAAGGCUGUCAAUAGUUAAUCUAAGAAAUUGGUUUAUGUGAGGGGACAGGGCACUGUCUGUGCUACUGUGUCAUUUAUCACAGCUCCAUGAGCACACAUAAAGAGACAGGCUUGGAGCCAUCUAAUAUUUCUUGCUUGCAGAGAACUAAAGAAAAAAAUAACCUGAAAAAUCUGUCAGUCUGACUCCGAAUGAGAGUAAGAACUGAUAAUACAGUGCAUUUACUGUAUAAUAUACAUAAUAUAUGGACUACAUGAGGUAGAAACAUAAGUGCCAGCAUCCCCAGACUUUAAGGGCCUGCUUACAUUUGUAGUACGCCUCUAAGAAAAUAUUAAAAUAGAGACAGGAUACACACACACUGAAUAUUGUAUACCUUUAUUAAAAACACUCCUGAACAUCAAUUUAAUACUCACAAAAUCCAGAAAUCAGGUCCUUCUCAGUCCAUGUAGGCAUUCAUGGAUCUUGGAAAGAACAAAAAAAGUCGGACUGCUUCUGCGGAUAGUCUCGUAAAGAACAGGGAGGCAGAUGUAUUAAGCCUGGAGAAGGCAUAAGGAAGUGAUA